rnacentral:rRNA from 1 species
GAAUCUGCCUUUAGGUCUGGGACAACAGAAGGAAACUUCUGCUAAUCCCGGAUGAGCCUAAUGGUAAAAGAUAAAUUGCCUGGAGAUGAGCUCGCGUCUGAUUAGCUAGUUGGUGAGGUAAAAGCUUACCAAGGCGACGAUCAGUAGCUGGUCUGAGAGGAUGAGCAGCCACACUGGGACUGAGACACGGCCCAGACUCCUACGGGAGGCAGCAGUGGGGAAUUUUCCGCAAUGGGCGAAAGCCUGACGGAGCAAGACCGCGUGGGGGAGGAAGGCUUUAGGGUUGUAAACCCCUUUUCUUUGGGAAGAAGUUCUGACGGUACCAAAGGAAUCAGCCUCGGCUAACUCCGUGCCAGCAGCCGCGGUAAUACGGAGGAGGCAAGCGUUAUCCGGAAUGAUUGGGCGUAAAGCGUCCGCAGGUGGCCAUGUAAGUCUGCUGUCAAAACCCAGGGCUCAACUCUGGUCAGGCAGUGGAAACUACAAAGCUAGAGUCUGGUAGGGGCAAAGGGAAUUCCCGGCGUAGCGGUGAAAUGCGUAGAUUUCGGGAAGAACAUCGGUGGCGAAAGCGCUUUGCUAGACCAGAACUGACACUCAGGGACGAAAG